GUGUCAGCCGCCGCGGUAAUACGGGGGGGGCAAGCGUUGUUCGGAAUUACUGGGCGUAAAGGGCUUGUAGGUGGCCAACUAAGUCAGACGUGAAAUCCCUCAGCUUAACUGGGGAACUGCGUCUGAGACUGGUGAGCUUGAGUGCAGGAGAGGAACGCGGAAUCCCAGGUGUAGCGGUGAAAUGCGUAGAUAUCUGGAGGAACACCGGUGGAGAAGGCGGCGUUCUGGACUGCUACUGACACUGAUGAACGAAAGCCAGGGGAGCAAACGGGAUUAGAUACCCUGGUAGUCC
rnacentral:rRNA from 1 species